CUUGGGUAUAGUGAAAAUAAAUUGAACCAAAAUUUUUAUUGAUGAAAUCCAUAAUGACACUGGUAUAUGACUAACACUGAAUUAUGAGAUAGUAAAGGAAUACUUUCAAAUCUUGAAUGUCUACUCUAAGGCAAUGUACUCUGCUAUUUACAUGGACUAUCUGCUCAAGAACACAGAAGAGGCUGGAAAGUGUAGUUGUCUCUGAAAAGGGUGAUUUUAAAGCUUCAGAAAAGGUGAGAGAUAAGAUUUUUAUUUCUUUUGAAUUUAGUGCUAUGUAUGUGUGCUGUAAAAAUGAACUGAGGCCAGGUACAGUGGCUCACACCUGUAAUCCCAGCACUUUGGGAGGUGGAGGCAGGCAGAUCACUUGAGGCCAGGUGUUCAAGACCAGCCUGGCCUACGUGGCGAAACCCUGUCUCUACUAAAAAUACAAAAAUUAGCUGGGCACGGUGGUACACGCCUGUAGUCCCAGCUACUCGGGAGGCUGAGGCAGGAGAAUCGCUUGAACCCGGGAGGCAGAGGUUGCAGUGAGAUCACACCACUGUACUCCAGCCUGGGUGACAGAGAGAGACUCUGUCUCAAAUUUUAAAAAAUGAAUUGAGUAAAUAUGUUCACCCAAAUUCCAAUUACACCUUGGUUUCAUUUCCACAUUGUAAAUCUUGGCCUUCUCAGUCUUCAGGUUAACUAACAGAAUUCUAGAAAUUAAGAGUAGGCUCCUCUGAGUCUGGAAGAAAAAAUACUUAACAAGGUUAGACCAAAAAUAUUUUCCCUGUCCCCUACAUCUACAAACAAUCAGAUAAUAUUCUAUAUCAUAAAAAAUUCCUAGUAAAUGUUCUAACAAUAUAGACUUUAUAUUUCAGAAUUUCUGCUUUUAAAAAUUAACAUUAAUCUCAAAAAGGUGAAAUUAUGUUUGUGGUCUUAAUAUAUACAUUAAAUUAUCUGUAUUAUGAAAUUUAUACAUAUUUGUAAUUUUACUUUUUAAAAUAAAGGAUCACUUGUUAUGUCUCAUACAUAAAAAGCUAAUGAAACUUAAGAGUCUGAUUUUUUAUUUAACUAAAACCUUUGAGAGUCUAUGGCUAAUUUAAAGUAAUACCAAUGAUUAUUUCAGGAAUUACAUAUAACCCAUUUUAGCAACUAAAAGCAGAUGUACGCUGCUGGCCAAUGGGAAAUGUUUCCUUGCUCCUGUCACGGGAGAUGCUCUCCCUUAUUAUUUUCUGUGGAUGUUGUCAUGUCUGUUUGUAAUAUCUGGAAACCUGCCAGCCAUCAUGGUGCCAGCCAACACUGGGGAGUGCAGAGUGGAAAAUGGAAGAGAAACUGAGCCUCUGAAAAUUUAAUUUUGCGGCCGGGCGCAGUGAUAAAGCUGAUUCCAUCACAGUCAUCAAAACCAGC
rnacentral:lncRNA from 1 species